rnacentral:rRNA from 1 species
CCUACGGGUGGCAGCAGUGAGGAAUAUUGGUCAAUGGACGCAAGUCUGAACCAGCCAUGCCGCGUGCAGGAAGACGGCUCUAUGAGUUGUAAACUGCUUUUGUACGAGGGUAAACGCAGAUACGCGUAUCUGUCUGAAAGUAUCGUACGAAUAAGGAUCGGCUAACUCCGUUCCAGCAGCCGCGGUAAUACGGAGGAUUCAAGCGUUAUCCGGAUUUAUUGGGUUUAAGGGGUGCGUAGGCGGUCGGAUAAGUUAGAGGUGAAAUCCCGAGGCUCAACAUCGGAAUUGCCGCUGAUACUGUUCGGCUAGAGAGUAGUUGCGGUAGGCGGAAUGUAUGGUGUAGCGGUGAAAUGCUUAGAGAUCAUACAGAACACCGAUUGCGAAGGCAGCUUACCAAGCUACUUCUGACGUUGAGGCACGAAAGCGUGGGGAGCGAACAGGAUUAGAUACCCCUGUAGUC